UUACGGUCAAAUCACACUGAAACACCGGUUCUCGUACGAUCCCCGAAGUUAAGCAGCGUAGAGCCAGGUCAGUACUUAGAUGGGGGACCGCUUGGGAACACCUGGUACUGUAAG
rnacentral:rRNA from 1 species